rnacentral:rRNA from 1 species
GACGAACGCUGGCGGCGUGCUUAACACAUGCAAGUCGAACGGAAAGGCCUCUUUCGGGGGGUACUCUCGUGUCGCACGGGUGAGUAACACGUGUGUAUCCUGCCCUUGUCUUUGGGAUAACUUCAGAAAACUGUGGCUAUUAUCGCAUAUGAGCUCCUCCUCUAUGUUGGGGGUUGGAGAGUUUUGGGGGUUGGGGAUGGACUCGCGGCUUAUCACCUUGGUGGUGGGGUAUUGGCUUAUCAAGGCUUUGUCGGGUAUCCGGCCGGGGAGGGUGACCGGGCACAAUGGGAAUGAGGUAAGGCCCAGAAUCCUACGGGGAGCAGGAGGGGGGAAUAAUGCACAAUGGGGGGAAGGCUGAUGGAGCAACGCCGUGGGGGGGAUGAAGGCCUUCGGGUUGGAAAACGCUUUCGGUCAGGAAGGAGCUGUGUGUGACGGUAGUGGGUAAAGAAGCACCGGCUAACUACGUG